rnacentral:rRNA from 1 species
UACGUAGGGGGCAAGCGUUAUCCGGAAUCAUUGGGCGUAAAGCGUGCGUAGGUGGUUCGUUAAGUCCGUUGUGAAAGCCCCGAGCUCAACUUGGGAAUUGCAGUGGAUACUGGCGAGCUGGAGUGCGGUAGAGGAAGGUGGAAUUUCCGGUGUAGCGGUGAAAUGCGUAGAUAUCGGAAGGAACACCAGUGGCGAAAGCGGCUUCCUGGUCCAGCACCGACGUCAGGCACGAAAGCGUGGGGAGCAAACAGG